rnacentral:misc_RNA from 1 species
AAGUCGUAACAAGGUUUCCGUAGGUGAACCUGCGGAAGGAUCAUUAUUGAAUAAAUCUGAUGUGGUUGUAGCUGGCUCUCCGGAGCAUGUGCACGCCCGUCACCUUUAUCUCUCCACCUGUGCACACACUGUAGUCCUGGAUACCUCUCGCCGCAAGGCGGAUGCGAGGCUUGCUGUGUCUUUGCAAGAAGACCGGCUCGCUUCGAAUUUCCAGGUCUACGAUACUUAUACACCCCAAACUGAAUGUUACAGAAUGUUAUCACUGGGCCUUGUGCCUAUAAACCUAUACAACUUUCAGCAACGGAUCUCUUGGCUCUC